rnacentral:rRNA from 1 species
CGGCUGUCACUUACAGAUGGACCCGCGGCGCAUUAGCUAGUUGGUGGGGUAAUGGCUCACCAAGGCGACGAUGCGUAGCCGACCUGAGAGGGUGAUCGGCCACACUGGGACUGAGACACGGCCCAGACUCCUACGGGAGGCAGCAGUAGGGAAUCUUCCGCAAUGGACGAAAGUCUGACGGAGCAACGCCGCGUGAGUGAUGAAGGUUUUCGGAUCGUAAAGCUCUGUUGUUAGGGAAGAACAAGUGCGAGAGUAACUGCUCGCACCUUGACGGUACCUAACCAGAAAGCCACGGCUAACUACGUGCCAGCAGCCGCGGUAAUACGUAGGUGGCAAGCGUUGUCCGGAAUUAUUGGGCGUAAAGGGCUCGCAGGCGGUUUCUUAAGUCUGAUGUGAAAGCCCCCGGCUCAACCGGGGAGGGUCAUUGGAAACUGGGAAACUUGAGUGCAGAAGAGGAGAGUGGAAUUCCACGUGUAGCGGUGAAAUGCGUAGAGAUGNUGGAGGAACACCAGUGGCGAAGGCGACUCUCUGGUCUGUAACUGACGCUGAGGAGCGAAAGCGUGGGGAGCGAACAGGAUUAGAUACCCUGGUAGUCCACGCCGUAAACGAUGAGUGCUAAGUGUUAGGGGGUUUCCGCCCCUUAGUGCUGCAGCUAACGCAUUAAGCACUCCGCCUGGGGAGUACGGUCGCAAGACUGAAACUCAAAGGAAUUGACGGGGGCCCGCACAAGCGGUGGAGCAUGUGGUUUAAUUCGAAGCAACGCGAAGAACCUUACCAGGUCUUGACAUCCUCUGACAACCCUAGAGAUAGGGCUUUCCCUUCGGGGACAGAGUGACAGGUGGUGCAUGGUUGUCGUCAGCUCGUGUCGUGAGAUGUUGGGUUAAGUCCCGCAACGAGCGCAACCCUUGAUCUUAGUUGCCAGCAUUCAGUUGGGCACUCUAAGGUGACUGCCGGUGACAAACCGGAGGAAGGUGGGGAUGACGUCAAAUCAUCAUGCCCCUUAUGACCUGGGCUACACACGUGCUACAAUGGACAGAACAAAGGGCUGCAAGACCGCAAGGUUUAGCCAAUCCCAUAAAUCUGUUCUCAGUUCGGAUCGCAGUCUGCAACUCGACUGCGUGAAGCUGGAAUCGCUAGUAAUCGCGGAUCAGCAUGCCGCGGUGAAUACG